AUCGAACGCUGGCGGCAGGCCUAACACAUGCAAGUCGAACGAGUGGCGGACGGGUGAGUAAUGUCUGGGAAACUGCCCGAUGGAGGGGGAUAACUACUGGAAACGGUAGCUAAUACCGCAUACCAUCGGAUUUGCCAAGAUGGGAUGAGCUAGUAGGUGGGGUAACGGCUCACCUAGGCGACGGUCCCUAGCUGGUCUGAGAGGAUGACCAGCCACACUGGAACUGAGACACGGUCCAGACUCCUAGGGGAGGCAGCAGUGGGGAAUAUUGCACAAUGGGCGCAAGCCUGAUGCAGCCAUGCCGCGUGUAUGAAGAAGGCCUUCGGGUUGUAAAGUACUUUCAGCGGGGAGGCGUUACUCGCAGAAGAAGCACCGGCUAACUCCGUGCCAGCAGCCGCGGUAAUUC
rnacentral:rRNA from 1 species